rnacentral:lncRNA from 1 species
CAUUGACUUAACUAGAGAGACCAGACCAAGGACAAAAGAUCGCAGUGGACUGUAUGUGAUUGACCUGACAAGAGCUGAGGGAGAAAAUAGACCUAUUGCCACUCUUGACUUAACUUUAGAACCUGUCACUCCUUCCCAGAGGGAGCCAACCAGUCUUCAGACAUGUGCCAGCCUCUCUGGCAAAGCGGUGAUGGAAGGGCAGGUGGACAGAAGCUCUCAGCCUACAGCACGGAGACUCAUUAACAGUGACCCUGUAGAUUUGGACCUAGUGGAAGAAAACACCUUUGUAGGUCCCCCACCCGCUACAUCCAUCAGCGGAGGCUCUGUUUAUCCAACAGAGCCUAAUUGUAGCUCAGCCACAUUCACAGGGAACCUCAGCUUCUUGGCAAGCCUACAGCUGUCUUCAGAUGUUAGCUCCCUCUCCCCAACAAGCAAUAAUAGUAGCAGCAGCAGCAGCAGCAGCAAUCAAAAAGCACCCUUGCCAUGCCCACAGCAAGAUGUGUCUCGCCCACCACAAGCCUUGCCUUGCCCACUGAGAGCCUCACCUUGUCCACCACGAGCCUUGUCAUGCCCAUCACAAACCAUGCAGUGCCAACUACCAGCUCUAACUCACCCACCUCAAGAAGUGCCAUGCCCUCGGCAGAAUAUCCCAAGCCCACCUCAAGACUCGUUAUGGCAUCCUCAACACUCACCAAGCCCACCUCAAGACUCUCUGGGCCUACCUCAAGAUGUGCCAGGCCCGCCUCAAAGCAUAUUACAUCCACAAGAUGUGGCAUACCUGCAAGACAUGCCACAGUCACCAGGAGAUGUGCCACGGUCACCAGGAACCAUGCCACCAUCACCAGAUGUGCCACAGUCACCAGGAGACAUGCUAGGGCCACCAGGAGAUGUGCCACAGUCACCAAGUUAUGUUUCACCGUCACCAGAUGCACCACAGUCACCAGGGGGCAUGCCACACUUACCGGGAGAUGUGUUAUGUUCACCUGGAGACAUGCCACACUCAUCAGGGGACGUGACACACUCACCUAGAGACAUCCCUCACUUACCAGGAGACAGGCCUGACUUUACCCAGAAUGAUGUACAGAACCGUGACAUGCCUAUGGAUAUCUCAGCUCUGUCCUCUCCAAGCUGCUCUCCCAGCCCACAGUCUGAAACUCCCUUAGAGAAAGUUCCUUGGCUCUCUGUCAUGGAAACCCUAGCCAGAAAAGAAAUAUCACUGUCAGAGCCUGCCAAACCUGGGUCUGCCCACGUACAAUCACGAACACCACAAGGUGGGUUGUACGACAGACCAUGCCUGCAUAGACUGAAGUACUUCUUACGACCUCCGGUUCAUCACCUCUUCUUUCAGACGCUAAUACCGGAUAAAGACACAAGAGAGAACAAGGGUCAAAAAUUAGAACCCAUCCCUCAUCGAAGACUAAGAAUGGUAACAAAUACCAUUGAAGAGAAUUUUCCUCUGGGGACUGUGCAGUUUUUGAUGGACUUUGUGUCACCCCAGCAUUACCCACCAAGAGAAAUCGUGGCUCACAUCAUCCAGAAAAUCUUGCUCAGUGGCUCUGAGACUGUGGAUGUCCUAAAGGAGGCCUACAUGCUUCUCAUGAAAAUUCAACGGCUACAUCCAGCCAAUGCCAAGACAGUGGAGUGGGACUGGAAACUGCUCACCUAUGUCAUGGAGGAAGAGGUAA